GUUACUCAGUUCAGAUUGCAGGCUGNAACCCGCCUGCAUGAAGUCGGAAAUUGCUAGUAAUCGCGGAUCAGCAUGCCGCGGUGAAUACGUUCCCGGGCCUUGUACACACCGCCCGUCACACCAUGGGAGCCGGUAAUACCCGAAGUCAGUAGUCCAACCUCGUGAGGACGCUGCCGAAGGUAGGAUUGGCGACUGGGGUGAAGUCGUAACAAGGUAGC
rnacentral:rRNA from 1 species